rnacentral:lncRNA from 1 species
GUUUUCAGUCACUUUAAGACAAAGUAGAUUCAGAGCAGCUCCUCCCUCUGAGUUCAAAAUGAGGAGUGCCCUAUUAUUCUCUCCCCGGUCUCCAUGGAGACAUAAAUGCCCAAGUAACUGAUGCUACUACCUGGAGGGACUCACCUUUACCAACACCAAGGGAGCCAGCCCUGAGAGUUCAUGCCAAGUCAUCUUUCUCCUGCUUUGUUCCCUGGAACUGAUAAACUGCUGCUUCGAAAAACCAGAAGGCCUUGCCUCUAUUUUGUUUUCAGUUCUACUCCCUAAGAGCCUCAGCAUAAAUAUGAGAGGAGAUAAAGGGAAAGUUAAGAAACUUCUGUUAGCAUUCUGAUGUUCAAACCCAAGUCUUGAUCUUCCUGUUGAGGGCCAUCCAAGAGCACCAUGAUGAAGUGGAAAGAGAUUGUUCACAAGAAUGAUCACUUACAGAAGACUGAGCCCAAGGCCCUUGCUGAUGGAUUCCCAGACUUAUAUGCAUCCGAGAUUGAAGAACUUAAACAUCUUGCCCUUGCCAUGACCACAAAUCAGAGAGUAAUAAAAUUUAAUGUCCAUGGACUUUGACCUUCAAAAGACCAAAGACAGGCUGUUUCAAGAACGCGGUCUUGAACAAUUUGUUGACAUCUUCACAAAAGAAAAAUAAUUCUCUAAAUCAGUAACUGAGUCUCCGGAAGGUUUCUUCUUGGAAACCCCCACAUAGUCUCAUGAGCACCUACAAUGACAGAAAGGGAAAUUUAGAGAAUGAAGAGAAAACUUCUAAGAUGUUCGUAGAAUGCUUCAGGGAAGAGGUUUGAUAAUGAGCUGUUCAUGAAAGAUUGAACUCAUGAAACUGGGGAUAAGGAAGACAGUCUCGGAGGGGAAAAUGGCACAAGCAAACGUGUGGAGGAAAUGCAAGUGUGAAGAAUGGGCAUCACCAAUUCUUACAUGAGUGAUCACCUCAGGGUGUGUCAACUUACCUUGGGCUUCUGCAAAACAGUCAAGAAAACUGCUUUUUAUUAUUUUCUGUUUUCUGAAUCAGCAACUCUGUCACAAGCUAGAAGUCCCUGUAUUAUUCUUCAUUCUAUUACUUUUCAUGUAAGACUUGAAAACUCUUGGGAGCCUUGGUCUACUAAUUCAUAUGUCAUGUUUGAGUUACAUUUUAGAAAUAGCAAAUACACUUGAGGCAAACAGGCCCUAGUUUUGUUUUGUUUGUC